ensembl:lncRNA
GAGAGGACGGUGUAGGUCUGUAGGAGGAAAGGACGGUGUAGGUCUGUAGGAGGAGAGGACGGUGUAGGUCUGUAGGUGGAGAGGACGGUGUAGGUCUGUAGGAGGAGAGGACGGUGUAGGUCUGUAGGAGGAGAGGACGGUGUAGGUCUGUAGGAGGAGAGGACGGUAUGGGUCUGCAGGAGGAGAGGAUGGUGUAGGUCUGUAGGAGGAGAGGACGGUGUAGGUCUGUAGGAGGAGAGGAUGGUGUAGGUCUGUAGGAGGAGAGGACGGUGUAGGUCUGCAGGAGGAGCAUUUCCGAUUCUGAAGAAAAUAACAUCAUUGCAACGGUCUACUUGGAGUUGAACGACUGACUUUUAAAACAGCCAGAGAGGGACUGUAGCAAAUUAGCCCCUUGGUCUCAACGUG